rnacentral:rRNA from 1 species
UACGUAGGGUGCGAGCGUUGUCCGGAAUUAUUGGGCGUAAAGGGCUCGUAGGCGGUUUGUCGCGUCGGGAGUGAAAACCUUGGGCUUAACUCAGGGCUUGCUUUCGAUACGGGCAGACUAGAGGUAUGCAGGGGAGAACGGAAUUCCUGGUGUAGCGGUGAAAUGCGUAGAUAUCUGGAGGAACACCGGUGGCGAAGGCGGCGUCCUGGACCAACACUGACACUGAAUAGCGAAAGCCAGGGGAGCAAACGGG